ACCCUGGUGGCAUAGUGGUUAAGUGCUAUGGAUGCUAACCAAAAGAUCAGCAGUUCGAAUCUGCUGGGUG
rnacentral:tRNA from 1 species